CCGGAACCGUGGAAAGUGAACUAUGAGAGAAUUCCAUUCAAAUGCCACAUUUAUUGUAAAUUGCGAUGAACUUGUUGACAUUCUUACAAACAUCGUGGUCCUUUCUCUAUUUCGUUGGUGUCGGAGUCCGUUCGAACUAGUCGACUAAUGACGGAAGUUAUUUAUGUUACAAAGAUAAGAAGCCGAACGCGUCUUUAAAUGACAGAUUUAACGCCAGUAUUACUCAGUUCAUAGAUCACUCGCAAUAUUUAAUUGCAAUA
rnacentral:misc_RNA from 1 species